CGUUGAAACACCCGGUCUCGUACGAUUCCCGAAGUUAAGCAACGCCAAACCUGCUCAGUACCUAGAUGGGUGACCGCUUGGGAAUGCCAGCUGCUGUCA